AUGCUGCGGUGGUGUGUGUUGGUGCUAACGGAGAGUGGUGGACCACCAGAACUGGUGGGUGUAGAAGAGGAGCCAUGCGUCACGGCCAUGUUUGCAGCAGCUCAGGUCUGCAUGGGCAACAAGCUGGACAUUGUGCUAAGCUCUGAUAUUCAGUCACGGGAGCACGUCAACGAGUGGUCUGACUUCUACAGGUUCCUCGGGAUGUCCCUCAACACGAACGUGAACCAGGAACACGUGUCACCGUGGGACCUAUAUGAAGCAGACGUCGUGUGCGGUACCAUGGACUUCUUUAUCUCUGAUUACUUCCAUCACGGCUUAGAGGUAAUGGAGACGGGACGUUCUCGCCAUGCCAGAGGAUUUAUCAUUGGAGAAAUCCAUAAUCUGGAACCUUCAAGACUUGAGGAAAACAACACGCUAGUGUUCGCUGCUGAGACCCUGAAGAACCUCAUUGGUUGUUUUCACAGUGGAGAUAUGGAAGCGAGAAAUGGGGUCAUCAAGGCCAUUUUCCAGGUGCUCCACAUGAACCUAAAUAAAUGCACAGAUUCUGAUGCUAAAAUUGUGACCAUCUUACAAACAUGUGGUGGAGAAGCACUUCCUCCUGUCCAGGUCUACAUUCUAAACCUUCUCGAGGGUGUCCUGAAAUUGCUACGGGGAGAACCAGAAGGCACGUUGUGUUUGGAGAGUUUAUUUGCUUGUGCGGGGCGAGCCGUGAAAAGAGAAGCGACCACAGAACUCUUCCAGAAGGCGUCAAGUAUUGUAGCACAACGGCUUUGGUCACCAGUAGAAGUCUUGAAUCUUCUGGCAGCAUUAACAGACCACUAUCAGGAUGAGGCCACCAUCAUGAAGAUUCUGCAUCUCAUGGAAACAUAUCAGGUGUCUUCUGAGUGGACCGAUGAGAAGAACCGUUCUGUCCCUCAGCUUCUGUGCUCUUCUGAAAUAAAGAACCUGAUCCAGCAUUUAGAGAAGAGUUUCAGAGUUGAGAAGGAGAAGAGCAUUGACUGCCUGUUUGAUGAAUUGCGGCAAAUGAAAACCAUUGAUGAAGGAACGCUGGAGAAAUCGUACUUUAUAGUAAAAGGUGUGCAAAACUUGAUUGAAUCUGGUGAAAUGGAAGCCCACAGAGAUGUGCAGCAAGCGAAGAACCUGAGUCACAGCGUGGACGAGGAGGACCUUCAGGAGAUCCUGGCGGUCUUGUGCAACGCUGUCCACCUGCGCAUGGCUGCAGGGAAGUGGUGGCCCAGGGCCACUCAGAUGAUAGGCUGGUGCCUCCUGGCCUUGUCUGACACCGGGAAGCUCUUGGAGAUGGGCACCGGAGAGGGCAAGUCUUGUGUCAUCGCCAUGUUUGCUGCGCUGCGCGCACUUCGUGGCGAGAAGGUAGAUGUGGUCUCCAGCUCUGCUGUGUUGUGUCAGAGAGAUGCAGAAGAAUGGGCCAACUUCUACUCAUACUUUGGCGUCACAGUUGACACAAACACAAAUAAAAACGAUGACAAGCACAGGAAGGAAUGCUACCAGAAGGACGUGGUCUACGGAACCACUGAAGCUUUCGCCGCGGAUCACAUUCGGCAGAUUUUUGAGAUGAUGGACGUGAGGCCCGAUCGCGCCUAUCAGUGCAUCGUCAUUGAUGAAGUGGACUCGCUGCUCCUGGAUCAGGGCGUGCAGCUGACCUACCUGUCCAGCCCCAUGGCCUGCAUGCAGCAUCUGAACGUUCUCCUGGCCAUGAUCUGGGGCCAUGUCAGCCAGUACGGCUUUUUGACGACAGGACAAGAGACGUUCCUACAGGCCCCCCCCGCUUCGUUCUUCAAGGCCAUAUUUGACUCCAUCGACACAGAAGGAUGUGAAAUUAACGACCCCAUGGACAUUUUACGUAUUGCAGAAGAAUCGCAGGUCGUGCCAGAAGGAUUUGCAGAGGACAUGUACAAAAGCGAAAAAGAGGACCUCUUCAGGAAACUGAAGACAGUGAGUCAGGAUGCAGUGGUCAGUUUUUUCCAAGAACUUGAGGACUAUGUGCCGUAUGGUUUUACUGUCUACACUUUGGACGACGAUGGACUGCUCUGUCUUAGAAAGGCCAGUCCGUACAACAACUGGGACAUUCCAGAGCUGACGUUUCUGGUCCUGGAGGACGGCUUGUGCUGUGCGCUCUAUGAGUCAGAAGAAACUCUCAUCGAGCCCAUUGCAACUUUAAUCUCCGAGAAGAUUCAGUACACACCUUGUGCAGACCCCAAGGACUGCAUCAGCACGCCGGGGUUCCUGAGGAACCUGAUCGAUGCGAAGCUGCCAGCGUGGGUCCAGAACGCCUUUCUCGCCAAGCGUCUGAAGCAAGGACGGGAGUACGUCGUGGAGAACGACAGCGUCUGUCCCGUGGACUUCAGGUCCACUGGUAUCGUAGAGCUGAAUAAGAAAUGGGGUGACGGUCUGCAGCAGUUCAUCGAGAUUAAACACCAAGUCAAGCUGAGCACAGUUUCAACAGUGACCAACUACAUCUCCAACAUCGCUUUCUUCGAGAAGUACCAUGGGAAGAUAUACGGAACGACAGGGACUCUCGGGACUGAAGCAGACAUGCUGUUUCUGGAGGACCUGUAUUCAAAUCUCUCCGCCUGCAAAAUGCCCACUUUCAACCGCAAUAAAUUAUUCGAGGUCAAAGGAGCUCUGAGGAGCUCAGCUGAAGAGUGGAAGUGUGAAAUAAAGCAGGUGGUCAUGAGUCAAAUAACCCCGAAUUCAUACAGACGCGGACGAGCAGCCUUGGUGAUCUGUGAAACCAUCAACGUGGCCAAAGAGAUUCAUGAAGAGCUCAAAAACGUUGUUCCAGGUGAAGUUAUUCUGUACUGCCGGAGUGACAAAGACAGUCUGAGCAAAAUUGAGAAGGAACUGCUUCCUGGUGACGUCAUCGUUGCCACCAACCUUGCAGGACGUGGCACAGACAUAAAAGUCUCCAAAGAGGUGAACAACAAUGGAGGACUGUUUGUGAUCCUCUCCUUCCUUUCCGAGAACAGGAGAGUGGAACUCCAGGCAUUCGGAAGAACGGCACGAAAAGGUAAACCAGGAUCUGCUCAGGUAAUCGUGACCACUGGUCACCUGCAGGAGACCUUUAGGAGAGUGUCUUCUCUGGAGGAAGCAAAGGAAACGAGGGACAUGCUUGCAGCGGAGAAGAUCCAUGACAUGACGAGCGAUGUUGCGGAGAUGAGGCUGCGGGAGGACCUGUUUUCAGAGUACUGCGAAACCCUUCAGGACAUCCACAGGAACACCGAUGGAGAUGAAAAAAGAGCUGUGGUUGCCGUCAUGAACGAGUUCUGGGGAAUUUGGUUGCAAACUAAAUCAGAUGAAAUCGACAAGUUGAAAAGAGAUGAAUUGCAAAAAAGCUUGAAAGCCGAUUUAUCUUUGGCAAAAAUUCAGUCUCAAAGUCUGACCUCACCAUGUUCUAGCAUCUACCAUUACAUCAAGUUUGGGAAUAUUGCACUGGAUGAACAUCAAUGGGACACCAGUAGCAAACUCUUUGAAAAAGCCAUGGAGCAAGAUGAGUGCUGGGCCGCCAUAGCUUUUUACAGUCACGCCUACUGCACUAUAAUGCAGCAGAGACGAGACUACCUCACCAGGGCCAGAGAUGAUCUCAGGAAAGCACAGGAGUCUCUGACGUUCCUCACAGAGGAGUGCCUGGUCUGCCUGCAGCUUGUGAAGAUGUCCUGUCCUGACUCAGGCGGCGGUGACCCAACGAGCCUCGAGAAACAGUUAACAGCCAAGUGCAACAUGUUGAGUUACUUUGACAAGAACAUUAGCGAGGCCAUCCAAAAGCUGGAGGAGAUUAAAGAAAGGAAGAGGGACGCAAAAGCCAACAAGUUACCCAUGUUCUCCCUGGUGUCGGGCGCUGAAGAAGACCUCCAAGUGCAGGCCUACAAUCUUUACAGCCAGGGUUUGAAAUAUGUCUUUUCUGUGGAAGAGGAACCUCGUUUCCCAUGGGAAGCUCUGCUGGUGUUCUGUCUGGGGAUUCUGCAGAUCGUUGCGGGGGCUCUGCUCACCGCAUUCACGUUUGGAACCUUGGCUCAAGUUGGCAUGGGGCUGGUGACUGAAGGCAUAUCGGAUUGCAUCUACGGAGUGGAGUCUAUGGUGACAGGAGAAUUCAGUUGGAAGUCGUGGGCGGUAGAAAAAGCCAUUUCUAUUGGAAUAUCUCUCAUUGGGUUUGGAGUCGGAAAGCUUGUUGCGAAGGGCUUCAAAGCUGCCAAAGUGCUAAUGAAGGGAUUUGGUAAGGAACUGAAGUCGAUGCCAAAGUUCCUCUCCAGACAGGCCAAGGACGGCCUGAGUGUGGUUUCAAAGACAAACAUGAAGAAUGCAGUGAAACACACGGCAAAACGAAUGGUGGAAGAAAUGGUUGGCUAUGGAUUUGGGAAGGCAGAAGAGGAAUUAAUGAAAGUCAUACUAAAGGCCAUUACAGACGAGGUGGAGAAGGGAAUUGGUGACGCUGUGAAAUCGAACAUGGAAGAAGAACACUUGGCUGCGCUGGUAGACUCUAUUAUCCUCUCUCACCUAGAUGGUAGUAGUCAGCUGUCUGAUCUCCUGAAGGACAAGAAGAAGAAGGAGAAACUUCUGGACAUUUUCAGAAACUUAAGCAACAUGGCGUUGCAGCCAUUCUACGCUGACCUCCAAUGGCAGCAAAAGCUGAACUCCUCCAUCUCCUCGGUGUUAAACAGAGUUAAAUCAGAGGCCAGAGGGAACGUUCGUGGGAUUCUGACAGCCAUCCAAACCCUGCACAUUGGAGCACUGGCAGCAGAUGCCACAGCGACGGUGCUCAGCAUGUCAGACAGGUUUUUCUCAAACCUCCAGGGACAGAUGGACACAUUUAUGAGGGACCGUUCGCUUUCUGAGAAAGUAAAACAGAAUGAGCUGUCCACUUCCGAAACUGAGAUGCUGAAAGAAUUCAAGCGGAAUUUAGCAGACACCAUCAGUGCUUUGUUAGCUGAAGCUUUUGUAGAAGUUUUCCACCAGAAAUUCUCCAGUCACGUUUCUUCUCAUAUCCAGGGCCGAAUUAAUGGCAUCAUUGGCCAUUACGUAAAAACGGGACUGAAGAGCGACAGAACGGAGGAGAAACUCCGAGCUGGACAAAAUAACAGGUACAUCACGUUCAUGCCAGGAGAAGAAGUUGCAGGAGAGUCGGGUAAACACUCACAGUCACACGCUGAAAAGAUCAGGAACCCCGCAACUCCAGGCACCAUUCUCGACAUCAGAGUCCUCGCAGAAACCACGGGCACCAAGGUCGUGAUCCUGACAGAGGACCAUGGUGGCCAGCUUGUCAAGAUGCAGGAGCUGAGCCCAAGUUCCAAACCUCCACAUCAAACCGUGGCACUGAUCUACAGGCCGAAGAGCGUCCAGUACCCGGACGGCCAUUACGACGUACUCAUCAACAACCAGGCGGUGAGCCUGACCAGUGAGAGCAAGAGCUGCCUGUUCCAUGCUUUAGCGCGAGGCAUGAGACCAGAGGCAGAAGAAAUGGAGGUUGCUCUGGAAGCAGCGCGCCUCCGGUCUCUGGAGGCCGACGCCCUCCUCAGAGAGCCGGGUCUUUGGGAGCCUUUCAUCAAGCGAAAAGAGUGGACCGAAGGGAUCAGGGGAGGUGACUGGUACAUCGCCGAGGGAGCAGCAAGGGUCAAAUGGAAAGACACCAAAAAGAACCUUCAGAAAGAGGUUGGAAAAGUAGAAUACUACAAGGACUGGAAAACGUAUGCAAACAAGAAUCCUGGAAUUGGGAGAUUCAUCAAUGCUGAUCACCAGCCACCGGUCAAGAGUAUAAUGCAAGCUAAAAACAUGAACCAAAACAGCAAACUAGCUACAGCCAUGCUUGAAGUGGCCACGAAGUCCUCUCCUCUGGAUAACAACCUGGUUCCCGGCGUGCAGAAGAACCACGGCCGCCAACUUCCAACCGUCUACGUUCCACAAGAAACUCACCGCGAGUUUCCCAGCACCAAGUCGAAAGCCUUCAGAACCUGCUUGGCUACCGCCAUAAGCAACGAUAACGUUGUGGGGGCCUUCAAACUGACCAUCAUUGGCGCAAUGGUCAGAUGUAAGAUCAACACCAACAAACAGUUCAAAAACUUCCAGAACAGCACCAAGAGUAAAACCAGGCUUGCCGUUUUUGAGAAGAGUUUUAUGCAGCAUUCGAAAGACAUGGUGCAGACGUGGUUCAACCUGCUGAACCCCAAGGGUGCCAUGACAAAGGCCCAGUACAAGACUCUGACAGUGUGGAUCAACAAAAAAAACUACAGCAACCAGAACGACCAACACUACCAGCAGGUCUCCGGACUCCUGUAA
ensembl:lncRNA